UCGCAAGUGCGUACGACUCUUGAAUAUUAGUUGACGCACGAUUUUCGUUUGUUUUCGUUCAGUGCUUUCAGUCUCGGAGUAUUUUCGUCGGUGGACUCGUGAUCUUCUGACCCGUUGGUUAAUGCGAUCGGGAUUUUAAAUGAGAUUUUUCUUGCUUCGAACUUUCGUGGAUUUUCACGCGAGUGGAAGUUCGAGUUAAUUUUUUUUUAAUCCAUCACAGUUCGAAAAUAACAAAAUUGCAAAUAUAUAAAUUUGUGCUGAGAAUUUUUUAUUCACUCACGAACCAUGUUCGGAUUCAUCCCCCUUAAAAUAUGAAUCGCCCCAGUCGAAACGUCUCUUCCCAAAUGAAAUGCAAAAAUCGCGAUCCCAGUCGCCGGAAAUGAGCUGUUGGAUUCGUUCAAAUAGCCUAGUGCCGGAAGUGAACGGUUUCUAUACGAAACAGCAUUGCGAUGACACCGCUUAGCGAUUGGCUCCCAAAUACGGUUGAACCUCCGCACUGUCUAUUCACCAACAAGCUAAUAAGGACACGCGUAACAUAAAUCUACGAGUGUCUCGAUUCUGUACCAGACGCGGAUCGUACUCAUGAGUAUUUUAAUAAUCGUCGUCAGUGAACGUCGGUAAGUUAUUUGUCCGAAGCUGAGACAAUUUGCAAAAUUGCCCCACCGAUGAUGUUCGGCCGCAUGUAUACGCAUGCAUGAGAAUGAUUAUUCAUCAAGCGUUUGAAAAGGCCUGCGUGGCGAGUGACUCGAUCGGUAGGAAGGACGAGGAGAGACACGGAGGAGGAUUUUUCUUCAAUGAGAUUCAAGCUGCAUGGUUUAACAUGGCAACAUUGCAUCGCCUGUAGCGAAACUCCUUAAGGAAGUUGAGGCUGUACAGUCAUUUUUUUUACCCAAAAGUGAUGACCUGUACCUUUCAAAAAUUAGGCCAGUUUACAGUUUGGCAAUGUCGCAUACACUUUAAAGAAAAG